UCGAAUGUCGAUGAUGAUUUAUGUGAUCCCAGCUCUAUGAGACCUUUAUUUGUUGAAGGUCAGGGACUAAGACUUGUUCCACAUUUAUCUGAGCCAACCUUGA